ACUUCAAGGCCAGCCUGGGAUACAUAGCUCACUACAAGCAGAGAUCUUUCCUCAUCCUCAGAACUUGGCACAGAAAAACCACCAAUUAAAGAAAAUCACUGUCUGGACUAAUCCACCUCAUCAUCUCCGGCAAACUCAAAAUGGUCGAUGCUGCUUGUUUUCAAAUCUCAAUUUUCCCUGCCAUCUGCAGUCAGAUUUGUUCCUUAGUCCUCACAUAAACCUGUCUGGAUGCCACAUCUCAACAGCCACUCUCCAUGGGGCAGCUUUUUCUACCCAGUGACCAAGGCUUUGGACCUCCUCACUGGACCAAUAAGGCUUUUCUCUCCUAACCCUUGAGAGCUGUGAUCACUCUACAGACCACAGAGCACUGCCAUGUGCUAAGGACAGGUGUUCAUCCUGCAGGUCAGCGCAUAUGACCUCUCACCUGAAUAAAGAAAUCAGUACAGUUGAGAGACCAGGUAUUCUCUGCCAUGAGAGACAGAGAGCUGGGCAUGGUGUUGCACAUCUAGAAUCCCACUGUCAAGGGCAGAGAUGGGUGGAGAGUCUCUGCAGUCCUGGGCCUGACUCUCCCGAUGAUGCAGAAGGUUGUGGAAGAAUUAGAGACCAAAAGUGUAGAAGCAAAGUUGUACUUUUAUUCAGCAAGCAUGCAAGAGUACAGUGCUUUCUUCCAGAGAGACAGGAAGGGGUGCCCAAAACGAAGCCACUGUUGAAGGGGGGCUCAAGAUGUUGGUUUUAUAUUAGUCAGGGGCCUAUCCUGUCUCUGGGCUGAGGGUGCCCCUACUUGAUUGGUUAAUUGGUUGACCUGGCUCGUGACUAGGGACAAUAGGGAAGGGUCUUUUGGGGGCCUUUUACAUCUUGGGGGCCUGUUAUAUGGAGAGGAGAGGACAGGAACUUACUAUGUAUCACAGACUGGUCAGGAAUUCAAAGUGAUCCUCCUGCCUCAGCCUCCCAAGUACUGGGAUUACAUAAAUGUGCCACCAAGCCCAGCUUAUAUACUACUGCUAUGUAACUCAUUCUACUGCAAAUAGAUGUACUUCUCCCUGUUAAACUGUCAGCUCUUUAUGUGUUUUUUUUUUUUCUUUCUUUGGUGAUGAGGUCUUGCUGUGUUCCUUGAGAUAGUGUCAAACUCUUGGAUUCACGUGAUCCUCGUACCUCAGCCUCCCAAGUAGCUGGGACUCCUGGCACACACCACCUUGCUUAGAUUGUGAUCCCCUUAAAAGCAAGAACUAGGCUGGUGUGAUGGUGGACACCUGGAAUCCCAGUACUUGGGAGGUUGAAGCAAGAGGAUCACCUCAAGUUUGAGGUUAGUCUGG